rnacentral:rRNA from 1 species
GAUGAACGCUGGCGGCGUGCCUAAUACAUGCAAGUCGAGCGAACAGACGAGAGUGCUUGCACUCUCUGACGUUAGCGGCGGACGGGUGAGUAACACGUGGGUAACCUACCUAUAAGACUGGGAUAACUUCGGGAAACCGGAGCUAAUACCGGAUAAUAUUUAGCUUCGCAUGAAGCAAUAGUGAAAGACGGUUCUGCUGUCACUUAUAGAUGGACCCGCGGUGUAUUAGCUAGUUGGUGAGGUAACGGCUCACCAAGGCAACGUUACAUAGCCGACCUGAGAGGGGGAUCGGCCACACUGGGCCUGAGACACGGCCCAGACUCCUACGGGAGGCAGCAGUAGGGAAUCUUCCGCAAUGGACGAAAGUCUGACGGAGCAAUGCCGCGUGAGUGAAGAAGGUUUUCGGAUCGUAAAACUCUGUUGUAAGGGAAGAACAAGUACGUUAGUAACUGAACGUACCUGGACGGUACCUUACCAGAAAGCCACGGCUAACUACGG